rnacentral:rRNA from 1 species
GACGAACGCUGGCGGCGCGCCUAACACAUGCAAGUCGUACGCGAAAGGGGGCUUCGGCCCUUGAGUAGAGUGGCGAACGGGUGAGUAACACGUGGGUAAUCUACCUUUGGGUGGGGAAUAACUCGGGGAAACCCGGGCUAAUACCUCAUAAUGCAGCGGCACCGCAUGGUGAUUGUUGUUAAAGCGGGGGAUCGCAAGACCUCGCGCCUGGAGAAGAGCCCGCGCCCGAUUAGCUAGUUGGUGGGGUAAUGGCUCACCAAGGCAUUGAUCGGUAGCCGGUCUGAGAGGAUGGUCGGCCACACUGGCACUGAGACACGGGCCAGACUCCUACGGGUGGCAG